GUAUUUUGACUAUACAAAGGUAUUGUAAUAAGAUUUUAAUUGAAUGCUAAAAGAAUGGAAAAUUAAAAAAAAACUUUUUUAAAAAUAAAAAUUGAAUUUUUUUUAAUUUGUGCAAAAACAAUUAUAUUUAUUAAAGACAAGAAGACCCUAAGAAUUUAAGAUUUUACAAUUAAAAAGUUUUUUUUUAAAAUCUUGAUUGGGGCGAUCAAAAAAUAUUAAUAACUUUUUAAAAUUUAAAUUGAUCUAUUAUUAAUAAACUAAUGAAUUAAAUACUCUAGGGAUAACAGCGUAAUAAUUUUUGAUAGAUCUUAUUGACAAAAUAGUUUGCGACCUCGAUGUUGGAUUAGGAUUCUUUUUUAAUGAAGAAGUUAAAAAAAGAAGUUUGUUCAACUUUUAAAUUCCUACAUGAUCU
rnacentral:rRNA from 1 species